rnacentral:lncRNA from 1 species
CAAAAGCGUGAAGAACUCAAAACAAAGCAGUCGGUCCAUUCAAAUUCAAUUAGAAUUGAAACGAUAUGUAACAUUGAUCAAGAAGCAAGCGGUGCAGAAAUUUGAAUGCAGUGGCAACAGCAGCAGCUGAAGAAAUUUUGAUCAGUCACACUCUGAUGUUCAUCACGCAAUUGAAUUCUGUUCGGUGCAAUAAUUAGAUUUCUCUCAACAUUGUUGUGCAGUGAUCGAAGCAAAGUUGAUUCGUAUUAGCUUGUGUCGGUGCCUAGAAUUGAUUAGACACUGCUAUUGAAUUACUUCAUGUGAUGAAUUCAAAGAAGUGCAAUCCCUUGUCAGCUUCUAGCAAUGGUGAUUGCUGGUAAUUUUCUAUCCAUACUGACGAUUGAAAUUGUGUGAAGUAUUAAGUUGGACUGUAAUAAUAUAUAAAAAAUUAUAAAUUUAUUAUCAUAAAGUUUUAAGUUGAAAGUAACAUAAUGUGAAUUCCAUAUGUCUGUGGUCUAUUCUUGUGGAAGCAGUUAAAUUCUUUAGAUUGAUUGAAGAUAUGAAAAAUGGUUGAAGCAUAUGACAGCUGCUGCUGAAUGUGGCAAGAGAAUUCCUUUGUUUAAUUGAUUUCAUGUAAUCCUAACAAUCUAUAAUGUUUUAAAACUAUCUAUAACACCGUGUACAAUCUUAUUCUAUAGGUGAAAUAAAAUCAAUUUCAACUAUUUAUAAAUAAAAACAUUGUUUUGACGCAUAAAAUUAAAAGUAAAUUGAUUUCUUUUUCAACUUUAAAUAAAAAUACAUAUCCAUAUUUUUAAUUUGAGAAGAUUUUCAUUUCCUUAAGAAGUUGAUAUCCUUAUGAUUUUUUAACAUUCAGAACACAAACAAAAAUCUCAAAAACUAAAGAAAGAAAACUUUAAGUUAUUCUGUUGUUCAGAAAAGCCAAAAUGAUGCACAUGACUUUUUACUGGGAUAAGAAGGUGACAAUCUUGAUCGAUUCCUGGAUGAGUUACCUUCUGAGUCUAUUUGCAUGUCUCGUCAGAGAUAAAAGGAGAUUGGGGGAUAAGUUGGCGGAUGCAGUUCUGUUUGGUGCGAACUCGGGGAUAGGGAUCCCUGUAAACAAACUUAAGGUUAUGGUUGUUCAGUGAGAAAAGAUUUCCAAAAUACUUGCCCCGCAAGUCAUAUUAAAUUAUUGCUUCAUUUGCAUCAACUUCAGAGUUUAUUCCUUAUGUGGUCCAUAUACAAAACCUAAAUGAUUUUAUUUUCCAUAAGAAUAAACUAUAUGUUAGAUCAUUAAAGGUUUACGAGAAAGAAUAAAUAAGGAGUAAGCUAGACACGUGUAAGGAAGAUAGGGAGUAAGCUAGACACGUAUAAGGAGGAUUGUUGGUUAUAGUUUGUUAGAAAAGAGAAAUAGUAUAAAUAAGAAUCAGAAUAGGGAGAGAGGGGUAUCGGAUAAUUUCUUACCUUUGGAUAGAGACUGGAUCGUUUCUAGUGGAGGAAGGGAGGCUUCCUUGGGGGAAUACUUGUUAUUUGUGGUCUUUUAUACUUUACAAAAUAAUAAAGUUUAUAUUCAUAUAAUUGCUAUAUUUAUACAAUUGCUUCUUUUUGGUUGAGAGUGUGUGAAAAGGAACCUAACAGAUUUGGUCUGACCUGUCGGAUCUGUUCCGAGGAAGCUGUAGCGGAGAAGAAUGGAGGGACGAAUGGUGGCAAUAGAGUCGAUAGUGGAAGAGUUGAAGGCGGAGGUGCAGGAGAUGACUCUUGAGUUCCGACGAGCUUUCGGGCGACGCUCCAGGAACCGAAUCGGAGCUCUGCAGCGGGUCGUAAUUCCAUCAAUGGCCAACGAGAACGACGAUUAUCGGAGAGUUCGGAGGAGGAAUCGGAAGAUGACCGAAGCGAAGUACAACGCAGCUGGACGAAGCACGUUGAGCUACCAACUUUUGAAGGUACUGACCCCAUGGGUUGGAUCGCAAAGGCUGAAAAGUUCUUCGACAUCCAGAGCGUAACGGAGAAGGAGAAGAUGAAGUUGGUUUAUAUAUGUAUGGAAGGAGGUGCAAGCUACUGGUUUCGCUUCUGGAGGAAGAAAACCAAACACCCACCGUGGAAGCUGUUUACAGAGGCGCUGACGCGGAGGUUCGGCGAACUGAACCGGGGCAUUGUGUAUGAGAAAUUGGCCGCCGACAGACGAGAAGCGUCGACGCGUACAUCCAGGAGUUCGAAUUUUUGGUGGUAGAGGCAGCGAGAGUGAAUGAGGAGCAAUUACUAGGAUAUUUUUUUGCGGGGUUGCAGGAAGGACUGAGAAAUCUGGUGAGGUCGUACAACCCACAAGAUUUGUUGCCAGCGAUGGAGCAAGCUCGAGACGUCGAACAGGCUGGGUCGGGAUUGCGAGGAAGUGGCGGAACAGGAGGAAAAGGAGGGGUGACAUGGGGAAGAUACUCCGCGAGUUCCGGGACAGUCGCGGAAACAUAUCGAGGGUCACCGGAGGCAUCCAUGAACAUUGGUGGAGGGCAUGGUUCGAAGAAGGAGGACGUCUCCAAUAAUACGAGCUCCAAAGUAGGUAGCAGUGGAGGGGGAAACAACCAAGGCCGAAGGGUAAGAACUUUACCCUAUCCGGAGUAUAUAAAAAGGCGAGAAGAAGGAUGUUGUUUCCAGUGUGGAGGACCUUACAGUCCAGGCCAUAGGUGCGUUGAAAGAAGCCUACAGGUGAUGAUUUUGGCAAAGGGAGAUGAUGAAAAUGAAGUGGAGGACAUCCCAGAAUUGGAACAGAAGAACAUGGAGUUGUUCGUGUUGUCGGCAAGAGGGCUCACUCCUUCGAACAUGAUGAAAUUACAAGGAUGGGUGCAAGGGAGAGGAGUUCUAGUAUUAAUCGACAGUGGCGCAAGCCACAAUUUUAUUUCAAAUCGACUAGUUGGGGAAUUGGGACUGGAAAUAAGUGAGACACCACCUUACAAGGUGAGUUUGGAGGAUGGGCAGAAAAAAAUAGCUCAAGGGGGGUUCCAUUAGUUUUAGAAGGACUGGAAGUAAAAGAGAAAUUCUACCUCUUUGACUUAGGAGGAGUAGAUGUGAUAUUAGGGGUGGCAUGGCUAGCAAGAUUGGGAGAAACUAAGGUAAACUAGGGAGAACUUACUAUGCGAUUUGAGUCAGAAGAAAAGGAAGUAGAAAUUCAAGAAGAUCCAACAUUGACAUGUAAAGUGGUUAUCCAUGAGGCAUUGUUAAAGGAAAGGGAGAUAGAAACCAUGCCUCUAGGUGGGAGCUUAAGCCAAGUAGAAAUGACUAAGGGAGACUGGGAAGCAGAGAGACCAGCACCAGUGCAGGAAGCGGGAUGGCAACAGAUUUUGACAGAGUUCAAAGGGGUGUUUCAAGAACCCCAGGGACUGUCACCUGAGAGGAAAAUAGACCAUCGAAUUCCAUUGAAGGAAGAUAGACUUCAAAUUCAAAUUAACUCAGUACAGUUUGUGCGUGCAAUAGAGGUUUUGUACACGAAGCUCUAUGACAAAUACACCGAAGUCAAGACUAAGAAACUAUCUGAUUUGGACCACCUUAAUGAAGAACAACAACUUAAAUUCACCAAUUGCUUGUCUGCUACAGAAGAGGUCAUAAAGCACUUGAAGACUGAAAAGGAAGAGCUUCUUGGACAAGUCAAUGAUUUGAGAGUCGAGCUCGCUUCACUAAAGGCUGCCAUAGACAACCAGUUAGCAGACUAUCAGAUGCUUUUAAGGAAGGAAAGCCACAAAAAUGAAACUUUUUCUGAAGAAGUGGAGAAAUUGCACCUUCUUAGCCAAGAAGGAGCAUAUCAAGAUUUGAAUAAUAGCAAAAGGAUCAUAGUUGUAAGAAACCAUCAGGUAGAGGGAGCUUUACCAACUGAAUUGCAAAGGGACAGACACACGAACAUCCCUCUGAAGGUGCUACAACGAGGAACCAACAAUCACACGAGAAGAAGAUACCCCAAGUCUUAAUACAAUGGCAAAAAGGUGGUUUGGAAGGGGUUACUUGGGAGGAGAAGCACUAUAUCCACCAGUUCCCUAAUCUCAACCUUGAGGAUAAGGUUGAUGUUAGGGAGGAGGGUAAUGUUAGAUCAUUAAAGGUUUACGAGGAAGAAUAAAUAGGAAGUAAGUUAGACACGUGUAAGAAGGGUAAGGAGUAAGCUAGAUACGUGUAAGGAAAAUUGUUGGUUAUAGUUUGUUAAAAGAGAAAAAUAGUAUAAAUAAGAAUCAAAAUAAGGAGAGAGAGGUAUCGGAUAAUUUCUUACCUUUUAGAUAGAGACUGGAUCGUUUCUAGUGGAGGAAGAAAGGCUUCCUUGAGAAAAUAUUUGUUAUUUCUGGUCUUCUAUACUUUACUGAAUAAUAAAGUUUAUAUUCAUACAAUUGCUAUAUUCAUACAGUUGCUUCUUUCUGGUUGAAAGUGUGUGAGAAGAUUUUCAUGUGUUACGGUCCUCGAGUAAAGGAACCUAACAUUAUACAUAUGGAAAAAAGAAUUCAGAAUAAAAGGUACGGGCAUGUGUUUCAAACUUAAUACUUUAUAGGUUGAGACUCACCACAUACACAGCAAAUUUCGGGGGGGGGGGGGAUUCAGCUAUUUGAAACAAUCUGAAAGUGCAUCUAACCUAUACAUAAAGUGAUCCUACAAGUCAAGACUUCUUAAAGUUAAAUCCCAUGAGAGGUUGAGACUUGCUAAAACAAUAAAAGCAUUUUCUGUAGUCCCAAGAAGUCUUCAGCUAGCAGAAGCAGGUUCCAUAUUAAGUUUUCCAUCCUGUGAUAUGAUAGAAAAGGAUCACCAGCACCAUAAAUUCAGUGACGAAUGCGAGGGUUCGCAUAAUUGAAGCAGCACAGCAACAAACAGCCUGGAAUCUUUGCUGCCCGCAGAUUAUAUGUUGUAUAUGAAAACAGCCUCUCAGUAAACUAGAAUAAGAAAUGUCACAUGGUAUGAAGGAUCACAAUAUGUCCCAUUCACUGUUAUUGAUCUUCUUCCGUUUUGAACAAAACUAGUUCACUUUCUUGCUGUAGAUUCUUGUACUUCAAAUUGUUAGGGAGCCAUCUGGAUAAUCUCUCAGGCCAGAACCUGGCAUGAGAUAAAUGAGAGAAGCAAAUUUGUUACAUGUUUUAAAUUAAAUGUACUGCAUAAAGCUAAAACAAAUAGGCAUCUAUAAUUAAAUGGUAAAAGAAUUGAAUAAAUUAUUUACGUCAUACGUAAAAGGUUGAAAAAGGAAACAAAAGCCUAACAAAUUUUGGACCUACUGCACCAAGUCCACCCCGAGGCAGCUUGUAACCCUAGUUUUCCUUUCUGUUUGAGUUUUCAUUCUGGGUUAUAAACCUAACCCAGCCCAGCAAUACUCUUAGAAAAACAACGGUUGAGUCAUCCAACCCAACCCAAAACCAAACAAAAAUUAAAAAAAUACCCCAUUUACACACCCAGCGCUGCAACCACUUCUCUGUUUCACCUACCCACUGACACCACCACCACCAGCAGGUUGUAUCCAUGGCCCACAACAACUACAGGACUUGAAAAUAGCAUAGGAUGGAUCAUGGCCGAUAUCUGGAUGGGUGUGAGAUAAUUUAGCUUAUCAACUAACCUUUUGUAUCUCAGAAUCAGAAUAUGGUUUCCCUUGGUUAUGUACAAGUCUGACACUUAAAUCCAUGAUGUGUCUACAGGCUUAGCAUUUAUCUUCCCUAUUUCUUCUAGAAUGUUGAGCGCAUUUGCUGUAGAAGAUAUGACCAAAUCAUCAUGCGAUUGUCCCACUUCUAUACCAAGGAAAUACCUUAGAUGUCCAAGAUCUUUUGUCUGGAAUUUUUGAGUAACAUAUUGUUUUAGUUGUACAAUACCAACCUAAUCACUACCAAUGUCGUCCACAUGUACAAUGAGAUAGAUACAUCCUUGGGGAGAAUGACAAUAAAACAAAGAAUAAUCAGAUCAGUUCGUCUCAUUCCAAACUGUUGGAUGACUGUUCAAACAAUGCAUGUGUCAUUCCACAUGCAUGGGGUGAUUACUUGGGCCAUGUAAUAACCUACACUGGUGACACACCAUAUUAAAUUACUCUCCUUAAGCAACAAAUCCAAGAGGUUGUUUCAUGUAGACUUUUUUUAUCAAGGUCAUCAUAUAGAAAUGCAUUUUUUUCUCAACUUGAAACAAAGUUCAAUGAUGAAUAGUUGCAAUGGAAGAGAGAAAUCAAAUAGACGUCACUUUGGCAAUAGGAAAGAAAGUGUCAGUAUAAUCUUGUUCAUAGACUUGUGUGUAUCUUUUGGAAACAAGUCUGGCUUUUAUAGUGAUCAAUGUUACCAUUAGGUCCUGUUUUAAAAAGUACACAACCAUGUAUGCCCAACAACUGAUUUGCCAAUUGGAUAGAAAGUAGUUGUGUUGAGAACUACUUUUUGUUGUACCUAGUUUUGUAUCUAGAAUUAUACAAGGAGUCUUUCAAGUCCUCUAAAAUAUAUUUUUCUCUCUUUUUCAAUCUUAAGUUGAUCCCGCUCAUAUGGUCUCAGUUCUGUCCGGUGCAUUCUCAUCAUGAUUUUCCUUCAACCGCUGCCAGCCACCAUCACAGUUUUGCUAGCGACCACUAGAUCUGGAACACCUCCGAGCGUCAGCCAACACCAUCAAUCCCGAAGCAUAUCUCUAAUCCCUGUGUCGCUAUGUGUGCCAUCUGUCCCUGCCACUGCUUGGCACGUGACAUCCAUGCACUGUCUUCCACUCAUCAGAGCAUCGUCAUGCCACCUCGACCGUGCCUGCUAGACCUCCGUCCCCCUCUCUGGCCCCUGGUUGCCCUUUUCCAACGUGUUUCAAGGACUAUUGUUUCCUAGUUAAACCUAGGGUUUCUCUUUAUUGUUCUUAUUGGAUGGUUUUGUGGUCUCUUUUGGUUUCCUCAAAAAUGUCUAUUAGAGCUAUUGUCUCAUUCUAUGGAAGUCCUUCCAUUACUUCUAAGAAACUAAAUUAAAGAAUUUAACUCUCUCGGUUUGCCUCUCUUGACCAUAAAAAAUUGCAUGAUGUGCUAUACAUGAAGUAUAACCAAUAACUUUCUCAAAGAUACGAUAUCAAGG